rnacentral:ncRNA from 2 species
CCAGCUCCAAUAGCGUAUA